AGGUUAACCGCAUAGGGGAGCCGUAGGGAAACCGAGUCUUAACUGGGCGACAGUUGCUUGCAUUAGACCCGAAACCGAGUGAUCUAGCCAUGGGCAGGUUGAAGGUUGAGUAACAUCAACUGGAGGACCGAACUCACUAACGUUGAAAAGUUAGGAGAUGACCUGUGGCUAGGGGUGAAAGGCCAAUCAAACUCGGAGAUAGCUGGUUCUCCCCGAAAGCUAUUUAGGUAGCGCCUCGGACGAACACUACUGGGGGUAGAGCACUGUUAAGGCUAGGGGGUCAUCCCGACUUACCAACCCUUUGCAAACUCCGAAUACCAGUAAGUGCUAUCCGGGAGACACACGGCGGGUGCUAACGUCCGUCGUGGAGAGGGAAACAACCCAGACCGCCAGCUAAGGUCCCCAAGUUAUCGCUAAGUGGGAAACGAUGUGGGAAGGCUCAGACAGCCAGGAUGUUGGCUUAGAAGCAGCCAUCAUUUAAAGAAAGCGUAAUAGCUCACUGGUCGAGUCGGCCUGCGCGGAAGAUGUAACGGGGCUAAGCGAUACACCGAAGCUGCGGCAAUG
rnacentral:rRNA from 1 species